UACGGAGGGUGCGAGCGUUGUCCGGAAUCACGUGGGCGUAAAGGCGCGUAGGCGGCCUGAUAAGUGAGGGGUGAAAGUCCUGCGGCUUACCGCAGGGCUGCCUUCUAAACUGUCAGGCUUGAGCACAGUAGAGGCAGGUGGAAUUCCCGGUGAUAGCGGUGGGAAUGCGUAGAGAUCGGGAAGAACAUCAGUGGCGAAGGCGGCCUGCUGGGCUGUUGCUGAC
rnacentral:rRNA from 1 species